rnacentral:rRNA from 1 species
UACGUAGGGUGCGAGCGUUGUCCGGAUUUACUGGGCGUAAAGAGCUCGUAGGCGGUUUGUCACGUCGUCUGUGAAAACCCGAGGCUUAACCUCGGGCCUGCAGGCGAUACGGGCAGACUUGAGUACUGUAGGGGAGACUGGAAUUCCUGGUGUAGCGGUGGAAUGCGCAGACAUCAGGAGGAACACCGGUGGCGAAGGCGGGUCUCUGGGCAGUAACUGACGCUGAGGAGCGAAAGCGUGGGUAGCGAACAGG